CGAACGCUGGCGGCAUGCCUAACACAUGCAAGUCGCACGAGACCUUCGGGUCUAGUGGCGCACGGGUGCGUAACGCGUGGGAAUCUGCCCUUGGGUUCGGAAUAACUCGCCGAAAGGCGUGCUAAUACCGGAUGAUGACGUAAGUCCAAAGAUUUAUCGCCCAAGGAUGAGCCCGCGUUGGAUUAGCUAGUUGGUGAGGUAAAGGCUCACCAAGGCGACGAUCCAUAGCUGGUCUGAGAGGAUGAUCAGCCACACCGGGACUGAGACACGGCCCAGACUCCUGCGGGAGGCAGGAGUGGGGAAUAUUGGCCAAUGGGCGAAAGCCUGAUCCAGCAAUGCCGCGUGAGUGAUGAAGGCCUUAGGGUUGUAAAGCUCUUUUACCCGGGAUGAUAAUGACCGUACCGGGAGAAUAAGCUCCGGCUAACUCCGUG
rnacentral:rRNA from 1 species